rnacentral:rRNA from 1 species
GAUGAACGCUGGCGGCGUGCCUAAUACAUGCAAGUCGAGCGAACGGACGAGAAGCUUGCUUUUCUGAUGUUAGCGGCGGACGGGUGAGUAACACGUGGAUAACCUACCUAUAAGACUGGGAUAACUUCGGGAAACCGGAGCUAAUACCGGAUAAUAUUUUGAACCGCAUGGUUCAAAAGUGAAAGACGGUCUUGCUGUCACUUAUAGAUGGAUCCGCGCUGCAUUAGCUAGUUGGUAAGGUAACGGCUUACCAAGGCAACGAUGCAUAGCCGACCUGAAAGGGUGAUCGGCCACACUGGAACUGAGACACGGUCCAGACUCCUACGGGAGGCAGCAGUAGGGAAUCUUCCGCAAUGGGCGAAAGCCUGACGGAGCAACGCCGCGUGAGUGAUGAAGGUCUUCGGAUCGUAAAACUCUGUUAUUAGGGAAGAACAUAUGUGUAAGUAACUGUGCACAUCUUGACGGUACCUAAGCAGAAAGCCACGGCUAACUACGUG